rnacentral:rRNA from 1 species
UACGUAGGGUGCAAGCGUUAAUCGGAAUUACUGGGCGUAAAGCGUGCGCAGGCGGUUCUAUAAGACAGAUGUGAAAUCCCCGGGCUCAACCUGGGAACUGCGUUUGUGACUGUAUGACUAGAGUACGGUAGAGAGGGGUGGAAUUCCUGGUGUAGCAGUGAAAUGCGUAGAUAUCAGGAGGAACAUCGAUGGCGAAGGCAGCCCCUUGGACCUGUACUGACGCUCAUGCACGAAAGCGUGGGGAGCAAACAGG